rnacentral:rRNA from 1 species
CCUACGGGUGGCUGCAGUGAGGAAUAUUGGUCAAUGGGCGCGAGCCUGAACCAGCCAAGUAGCGUGAAGGAUGACUGCCCUACGGGUUGUAAACUUCUUUUAUAAAGGAAUAAAGUGAGGCACGUGUGCCUUUUUGUAUGGACUUUAUGAAUAAGGAUCGGCUAACUCCGUGCCAGCAGCCGCGGUAAUACGGAGGAUCCGAGCGUUAUCCGGAUUGAGUGGGUUGAAAGGGAGCGUAGAUGGGUUGUUAAGUCAGUUGGGAAAGUUUGCGGCUCAACCGUAAAAUUGCAAUUGAUACUGGCAGCCUUGCGUACAGUUGAGGUCGGCGGACUUCGUGGUGUAGCGGUGAAAUGCUUCGAUAUCACG